GCUGGGCGUGGUAGCACAUGCCUGUAAUCCCAGCAACCUAGGAGGCUGAGGCAGGAGAAUUGCAAGUUCAAGGUCUGACUCAGCAACUUAACAAGGCCCUAAGCAGCUUAUGGAGAACCUGCCUCCU
rnacentral:sRNA from 1 species